ACAAAGAUUCGAGGAUAAGUUUUUCUUCUUCAUUUUUCUCAUGUCUUCCGUUCUUUUCUGUUAUCCUCUCGUAUUCUUUAUCUGCGUUUUGUAGUUAUAAUGAUUUAUUUUGAUCAUUAUUGGGUCAUAUCUUAUAAUUGACGAGCAGAUGAAUACUACGUCAGUGUGUGUGUUUGUCUACUCGGGUGAUUCUGACCAGAAUUUUUAUAAGCUUUUGGUACUUGGUGGAACGGCAGUCUUCUCGUUAAAUUCUGGAUCCUUGUGGAAUAACAGUUUUAGUGUUUAAUUGAUUUGCUUAACCUCUUCAACAUUCCGGUAGCAGAGUGAAAACGGUAAAAGAUCAAAGAUCAAAAGCCCUCUCUGACUCGUCAUGUUCCCCUUGGCUGGAACAACUACUCGGUAAGGAAGCUAGUCAGUAAAGUUUACACUUUGAAAAUUAGUAUAAAAACUAGUAUGUUGGUUGGUACUAUCUCAAUCUUUAGUGAAUUCUCUCUCUAUACUUUUUUGAGCUUCUAUGUCACGAUUUUUUAUAGUUUAGUUCUAACGAGUUGUUUGAACUUUGCCUUCUUAUUCUUAUGGCUUAAAAGUAAACAGUAUUAAAAAAAAUUCAGGAAUAAGUUAUUGUUGACUAUACUAUUACAGUUCGGUUUGGUCGGACCAGUUUUGUCUAUAUAGAUUGCACAUUAAUCAUCUAGAUGCAAAGAAUUAGAAAGUGUUUAGAUGUGAACUUAUGAUCAUGAACUGAUAUUUUUCAACCAAACAUUUUCUUUAUAAUUAUUCAACUUUUUUUUUUGUCAAACUAUAAUUAUUCAACUUAUGUUCCUAAUUUUACGGUUGAAACAAAGACUGAAGAGUUGAAAAAGCUGUUUGAACAAAGUAAAGGGAGUAUGUGUUUGCAGAAAAUAAAAAGGAGAAUCUUAAUAGAGUGAACACCAGAGCUUAAGCUAAAGAAAGGGAGUGAAUUGAUUAGGAAGUAAAAGAAAGUCUUAGUUUUACUCGGCAGC
rnacentral:lncRNA from 1 species